rnacentral:rRNA from 1 species
AAGGGGAUGCUUAGUAGCGGCGAGUGAAGCGGCAAAAGCUCAAAUUUGAAAUCUGGUACUUUCAGUAUCCGAGUUGUAAUUUGUAGAAGCAACUUUGGUGAUGGUCUUUGCAUAAGUUCCUUGGAAUAGGACGUCAUAGAGGGUGAGAAUCCCGUUUAUGGUGAAGAACCCACACUAUGUAAAGUGCUUUCGAAGAGUCGAGUUGUUUGGGAAUGCAGCUCAAAGUGGGUGGUAAAUUCCAUCUAAAGCUAAAUAUUGGCGAGAGACCGAUAGCGAACAAGUACUGUGAAGGAAAGAUGAAAAGAACUUUGAAAAGAGAGUGAAAAAGUACGUGAAAUUGUUGAAAGGGAAGGGAUCUAAAUCAGACAUGGUAUUUUGUGAUCAACAGUCUUUCGGGACUGUGCACUCGCAUUUUACUAGGCCAGCAUCGGUUAGAAGGGGGUAAAAAAGAUUUUGGAAUGUGGCUCCUCGGAGUGUUAUAGCCAAGGUUAAUUGCCCCAUUUCUGACCGAGGACCGCGUCUUUUGACUAGGAUGCUGGCGUAAUGGUUUUGAUCCACCCGUCUUGAAACACGGACCAAGGAGUCUAACGUCUAUGCGAGUGUUUGGGUGUAAAACCCGUACGCGUAAUGAAAGUGAACGUAGGUGAGAGCCUUUUUAAGGUGCAUCAUCGACCGAUCCUGAUGUUUUCAGAUGGAUUUGAGUAAGAGCAUAGCUGUUGGGACCCGAAAGAUGGUGAACUAUGCCUGAAUAGGGUGAAGCCAGAGGAAACUCUGGUGGAGGCUCGUAGCGGUUCUGACGUGCAAAUCGAUCGUCAAAUUUGGGUAUAGGGGCGAAAGACUAAUCGAACCAUCUAGUAGCUGGUUCCUGCCGAAGUUUCCCUCAGGAUAGCAGAAGCUCGUAUCAGUUUUAUGAGGUAAAGCGAAUGAUUAGAGGUAUUGGGAUUGAAACGAUCUUGACCUAUUCUCAAACUUUGAAUAUGUAAGAAGUCCUUGUUACUUAAUUGAACGUGGACAUUGAAUGAAGAGCUUUUAGUGGGCCAUUUUUAGAAAAAAAAAA